UUUAGGGUCCCCCUUCUCCAAUCAAGGACCAUGAGAUGUAUGCACCUUAAGAUUGUUGAUCGUGUUAAAAAGAGGCUUGCUAGGUGGUAGGUUACCCACUUAUCUAUAGCGGGUCAUGUUACGUUAGCCAAGUCUAUUAUAUUAAUACCCUCUUGUUCGAUACAAAUCAUCUUCCUCCCAUGCAUAUUAAAAAAUAACUCAAUAAAAACCCACUAGGGAAUUCAU
rnacentral:lncRNA from 1 species